rnacentral:rRNA from 1 species
GGUUUGAUCCUGGCUCAGAUUGAACGCUGGCGGGAUGUACCUUUACAUGCAAGUCGAACGGCAGCACGGACUUCGGUCUGGUGGCGAGUGGCGAACGGGUGAGUAAUGUAUCGGAACGUGCCUAGUAGCGGGGGAUAACUACGCAAAGCGUAGCUAAUACCGCAUACGCCCUUCGGGGGAAAGCGGGGGACCUUCAGGGCUCGCACUAUUAAGAGCGGCCGAUAUCGGAUUAAGCUGGUUGGUGGGGUAACGGCUCGCAAGGCGACGAUCCGUAGCUGGUUUGAAGGACGACCAGCCACACUGGGACUGAGACACGGCCCAGACUCCUACGGGAGGCAGCAGUGGGGGAAGUUUGGACAAUGGGGAAACCCUGAUCCAGCCAUCCCGCGUGUGCGAUGAAGGCCUUCGGGUUGUAAAGCACUUUUGGCAGGAAAGAAACGGCACGGGAUAAUACCCCGUGCAACUGACGAUACCUGCAGAAUAAGCACCGGCUAACUACGUGCCAGCGACCGCGGUAAUACGUAGGGUGCAAGCGGUCAAUCGGAAUUACUGGGCGUAAAGCGUGCGCGGGCAGUUCCGGAAAGAAAAGAUGUGAAAUCCAGAGCUUAACUUUUGGAACUGCAUUUUUAACUACCAAGCUAGAGUGUGUCCAGAGGGAGGUGGAAUUCCGCGUGUAGCAGUGAAAUGCGUAGAUAAUAUGCGGAGGAAGACACGGUGGCGAGCAGCCUCCUCUGGGAUAUGACGCUCAUGCACGAAAGCGUGGGAGCAAACAAAGGAUUAGAUACCCUGGUAGUCCACGCCUAAACGAUGUCAACUAGCUGUUGGGGCCUUCGGGCCUUGGUAGCGCAGCUAACGCGUGAAGUUGACCGCCUGGGGUACGGUCGCAGAUUAAAACUCAAAGGGCCAAUAAGAGGACCCGCACAAGCGGUGGAUGAUGUGGUUGCAUUCGAUUACAACGCGAAAAACCUUACCUACCCUUGACAUGUCUGGAAUCGAGAUUUUACGGGAGUACUCAUGAAGAACCGGAACACAGGUGCUGCAUGGCUGUCGUCAGCUCGUGUCGUGAGAUGUUGGGUUAAGUCCGCAACGAGCGCAACCCUUGUCAUUAGUUGCUACGAAGACGCCUCUAAUGAGACUGCCGGUGACAAACCGGAGGAAGGUGGGGAUGACUUCAAAGUCCUCAUGGCCCUUAUGGGUAGGGCUUCACACGAUCGUAAUGGUCAGGGACAGAGGGUCGCCAACCCGCGAGGGGAGCCAAUCCCAGAAACCCGAUCGUAGUCCGGAUCCCAGUCUGCAACUCGACUGCGUGAAGUCGGAAUCGCUGUCGCGGAUCCCAGCAUGUCGCGGUGAAUACGUUCCCGGGUCUUGUACACACCGCCCGUCACACCAUGGGAGUGGGUUUUACCAGAAGUAGUUAGCCUAACCGUAAGGGAGGGCGAUUACCACGGUAGUUGACUGGUGAAGUCGUAACAAGGUAA